UAGUCUCGCACAGAUGCAUAUCAAUAAGCGGAGGAAAAGAAACUAACAAGGAUUCCCCUAGUAACGGCGAGUGAAGCGGGAAGAGCUCAAAUUUGAAAUCUUAAAGGGUUUCCCUUUACGAAUUGUAGUUUAAAGAAGUGUUUUCUGUUGAGGUUUUGGUAAAAGUUCUUUGGAAUAGGACAUCAUAGAGGGUGAGAAUCCCGUAUUUGACCUUUACUUUCAACUUUGUGAUACACUUUCAAAGAGUCGGAUUGUUUGGGAAUGCAGUCCAAAAUGGGUGGUAAAUUUCAUCUAAAGCUAAAUAUUGGCGAGAGACCGAUAGCGAACAAGUACCGUGAGGGAAAGAUGAAAAGAACUUUGAAAAGAGAGUUAAACAGUACGUGAAAUUGUCAAAAGGGAAGCGUUUGACACCAGUGUUGUUUUUCUGAAAAUCAAUUAAAGAACUGUUUAUGCUAAGCUGUUUAGACUUUAUCAGCUAUCUGUUUAGUUUUGAGCUUUUCUUUAGUGCACCUUUUCAGUUAACAAGUCAACAUCAAUUUCUUUUGCUGUAAAAAAGCUUGAGGAAGGUGGCUUGAGAUUCGUCUUAAGUGUUUAUAGCCUCUUGCCUAUGCAGUCGGAGAGAUUGAGGUCUGCAGCGUAGAUCCUUCGGGGCUAAAUGCAUUUGUGCUAAGUUAUAGCAUUUUAUAGACAACUUGUUGACUAUGAUUUGUCUUGUAGCUUACUCGCUUGUGUUAUUUUACCUACGCUUAGGAUGUUGACGCAUGAGAUAUACGC
rnacentral:rRNA from 1 species